rnacentral:rRNA from 1 species
CACGAACGCUGGCGGCGUGCUUAACACAUGCAAGUCGAACGGAAAGGCCCUGCUUUUGUGGGGUGCUCGAGUGGCGAACGGGUGAGUAACACGUGAGUAACCUGCCCUUGACUUUGGGAUAACUUCAGGAAACUGGGGCUAAUACCGGAUAGGAGCUCCUGCUGCAUGGUGGGGGUUGGAAAGUUUCGGCGGUUGGGGAUGGACUCGCGGCUUAUCAGCUUGUUGGUGGGGUAGUGGCUUACCAAGGCUUUGACGGGUAGCCGGCCUGAGAGGGUGACCGGCCACAUUGGGACUGAGAUACGGCCCAGACUCCUACGGGAGGCAGCAGUGGGGAAUAUUGCACAAUGGGCGGAAGCCUGAUGCAGCAACGCCGCGUGCGGGAUGACGGCCUUCGGGUUGUAAACCGCUUUCGCCUGUGACGAAGCGUGAGUGACGGUAAUGGGUGAAGAAGCACCGGCUAACUACGUG